rnacentral:rRNA from 1 species
GUGGGGAAUCUUAGACAAUGGGGGAAACCCUGAUCUAGCCAUGCCGCGUGAGCGAUGAAGGCCUUAGGGUUGUAAAGCUCUUUCAGCUGGGAAGAUAAUGACGGUACCAGCAGAAGAAGCCCCGGCUAACUCCGUGCCAGCAGCCGCGGUAAUACGGAGGGGGCUAGCGUUGUUCGGAAUUACUGGGCGUAAAGCGCGCGUAGGCGGACCAGAAAGUUGGAGGUGAAAUCCAAGGGCUCAACCUUGGAACUGCCUUCAAAACUCCUGGUCUGGAGUUCGAGAGAGGUGAGUGGAAUUCCGAGUGUAGAGGUGAAAUUCGUAGAUAUUCGGAGGAACACCAGUGGAGAAGGCGGCUCACUGGCUCGAUACUGACGCUGAGGUGCGAAAGCGUGGGGAGCAAACAGGAUUAGAAACCCCGGUAGUCC